AGCCCAGCGCUGAAUCCUGCCGCCCACGCGGGCGGCCGGGAAAUGUAGCGUUAGGUAGGAGAGUUAAAUUCAACGCGCGGUCAUUAGUCACGGCCGCCAGUCCAAGUUCAUCUUGAACGGGGCCGCUUACCCGUAGAGGGUGCCAGGCCCGUGGUGACGGUGGUCGGCCGCGAUGGUCUCCCUACCAAGAGUCGGGUUGCUUGAGAGUGCAGCCCUAAGUGGGUGGUAAACUCCAUCUAAGGCUAAAUACAACCACGAGACCGAUAGCGAACAAGUACCGUGAGGGAAAGUUGAAAAGAACUUUGAAGAGAGAGUUAAAGAGUACGUGAAACCGUUCAGGGGUAAACGCGUGGAACUCGAACGAGCGAACGGGGAGAUCAUCGCCCUUCCGUCGGCGGCCCGCGCCCGCGUCCACACCGGCGUCCGUGCAGUCCUCGCGGCUGUUUCGGCGUCGGGUGGCGCGGUGCGUCGACAGGCUCCCGGAGGGCGUGCACUUCUCCCUCAGUAUACAACACCGCGACCCGUCGCACUGCCGUCGAACGCGCCGCACCGUUGUCCCUCUCGGCACCGCCGGGGGGAGCGGCGGCGUCGCGGCGGCAGUCACACACAGCGACGGUAGAGAACGAGGUUCGCGUCCGCCCCUCUCGGGGGGCGUCCGUCUCGCUCCGUCGGCUCCGAUCGUUCGGCCCCCGGCGCCCAGUGCGUCGAGGGUGUCGUUCGUUUCCGGAGUCGCAGUCGGGGGCGAGCUCUCGGACGGGACGCGUCCCGGUCAGCGGUGGUUUUGUUUCGGGCACUCACGCGACCCGUCUUGAAACACGGACCAAGGAGUCUAGCAUGUGCGCGAGUCAUUGGGACUCCGAAUAAACCCAGAGGCGUAAUGAAAGUGAAAGGCGGAGCCUCGCGUUCCGCCCGAAGGGAAGAUGCGCGCGCGUCUCAGCACGCGCCGCCGCAUUCCCGAGGCGUUUCGAGAAAGUCACCGUGCGAUUAUCGAGACGCACUGAGAGCGUACACGCUGGGACCCGAAAGAUGGUGAACUAUGCCUGGUCAGGUCGAAGUCAGGGGAAACCCUGAUGGAGGACCGAAGCGAUUCUGACGUGCAAAUCGAUCGUCGGAACUGGGUAUAGGGGCGAAAGACUAAUCGAACUAUCUAAUAGCUGGUUCCAUCCGAAGUUUCCCUCAGGAUAGCUGGCGCUCGGGAAACAUGCGCGCUCUUCGCUGAGCGAACGCAUUCGAACAGUCUCAUCCGGUAAAGCGAAUGAUUAGAGGCAUUGGGGCCGAAAUGGCCUCAACCUAUUCUCAAACUUUAAAUGGGUGAGAUCUCCGUCUUGCUCGAAGAUGAAGUCGGAGCUCGGAUGGGAGUGCCAAGUGGGCCAAUUUUGGUAAGCAGAACUGGCGCUGUGGGAUGAACCAAACGUCGAGUUAAGGCGCCCAACGAACGCUCAUCGGAGACCAUAAAAGGCGUUGGUCGCUCAGGACAGCAGGACGGUGGCCAUGGAAGUCGGAAUCCGCUAAGGAGUGUGUAACAACUCACCUGCCGAAGCAACCAGCCCUGAAAAUGGAUGGCGCUGUAGCGUUCGGCCUAUACUCGACCGUCGCAGGCAAGCGGGUCGACUUCGGUCGUCUUGAAGCCGCGACGAGUAGGAUGGCCGCGGCGGUGUGCGCAGAAGGGUCUGGGCGUGAGCCCGCCUGGAGCCACCGUCGGCGCAGAUCUUGGUGGUAGUAGCAAAUACUCAAGCGAGGUCCUUGAGGGCUGAUGUGGAGAAGGGUUUCSCGUUAACAGCCGUUGCACGCGAGUUAGUCGAUCCUAAGCCCUAGGAGAGAUCCGAUGUUGAUGAUGGUGUCAAGUUUUCAAUGUGAAAAUGUACAAAAUUACACCCGUCGGGCGAAAGGGAAUCCGGUUGCAGUUCCGGAACCCGGCUGCGGAACCGUCUUAAAAAUCGUUCCCUCGCAAGAGAGUUCGUCGGGGUAACCCAAAGUGGCCUGAAGACGCCGACGGGANNNNNNNNNNNNNNNNNNNNNNNNNNNNNNNNNNNNNNNNNNNNNNNNNNNNNNNNNNNNNNNNNNNNNNNNNNNNNNNNNNNNNNNNNNNNNNNNNNNNGCGGGGNNAGGCUCGGGACGCGAAGAGCAUCGCCGAUGCGGCGGUGUCCGGAUCGNCCCNNCGGACCUUGAAAAUUCAGGUGAGGGAUACGCGGAGAUGUCGCGCCGGCUCGUACCCAUAUCCGCAGCAGGUCUCCAAGGUGAAUAGCCUCUAGCCGAUAGAAUAAUGUAGGUAAGGGAAGUCGGCAAGUUGGAUCCGUAACUUCGGGAUAAGGAUUGGCUCUGAGGGCCGUGGCGUGUCGGGCCUGGUCGGGAAGAGGGAACCGGCCGAGACGCGGAGGCCGGGCGGGUGCCCAGUGGGGGUCGUUUACGAUCUCCUCUGCGGUUAUCCGUCACCCGGCGCCUCGCCUUGGCUACCCCUCGGAUCUUCCUCGCUGUGUGGCGCAGGCGCGUUCGCGCGCGU
rnacentral:rRNA from 1 species